rnacentral:rRNA from 1 species
UACGUAGGGCGCAAGCGUUAUCCGGAAUUAUUGGGGGUAAAGAGCUCGUAGGCGGUUUGUCGCGUCUGCCGUGAAAGUCCGGGGCUCAACUCCGGAUCUGCGGUGGGUACGGGCAGACUAGAGUGAUGUAGGGGAGACUGGAAUUCCUGGUGUAGCGGUGAAAUGCGCAGAUAUCAGGAGGAACACCGGUGGCGAAGGCGGUUCUCUGGGCAUUACCUGACGCUGAGGAGCGAAAGUGUGGGGAGCGAACAGG